UACGUAGGUGGCGAGCGUUGUCCGGAAUUAUUGGGCGUAAAGCGCGCGCAGGUGGGAUCUUAUGUCUGCUUUAAAAGUGCGGAGCUUAACUCCGUGAUGGGGUGGAAACUGAGAUUCUUGAGUGCCGGAGAGGAAAGCGGAAUUCCCCGUGUAGCGGUGAAAUGCGUAGAUAUGGGGAGGAACACCAGUGGCGAAGGCGGCUUUCUGGACGGUGUCUGACACUGAGGCGCGAAAGCCAGGGGAGCGAACGGGAUUAGAUACCCCGGUAGUCCUGGCCGUAAACGAUGGGUACUAGGUGUGGGGGGUAUCGACUCCUCCCGUGCCGGCGCAAACGCAAUAAGUACCCCGCCUGGGGAGUACGGCCGCAAGGUUG
rnacentral:rRNA from 1 species